UACGGGGGGGGUAAGCGUUGUUCGGAAUUACUGGGCGUAAAGGGCUCGUAGGCGGCCAACUAAGUCAGACGUGAAAUCCCUCAGCUUAACUGGGGAACUGCGUCUGAUACUGGAUGGCUUGGAUUCGGGAGAGGAAUGCGGAAUUCCAGGUGUAGCGGUGAAAUGCGUAGAUAUCUGGAGGAACACCGGUGGCGAAGGCGGCAUUCUGGACCGACAUUGGCGCUGAGGAGCGAAAGCCAGGG
rnacentral:rRNA from 1 species